rnacentral:tRNA from 1 species
GUCCCGGUAGCUCAGUGGAAAGAGCAGCGGCCUUCUAAGCCGCGGGUCGGGGGUUCGAAUCCCUCCCGGGACGCCA